GAAGGUAUAUCUCAAGUGGUAGAGUGUGUGCCUGGCAUACAUGAGGUCUGGGUUCAAUCCCCAGUACCUCCU
rnacentral:tRNA from 1 species